rnacentral:other from 2 species
AGUUUUCUGCGUUGUUCGUCCACGGACGCACAUACAAUUGAGCCAACAUAUGAAUGCCGGGAGGCUAAUGCCGCUGUCAGUGCGAUCCCUCAAGGGGGAAACGCCAUAGCCAACGGCUCUGAUGCACGCAAGUGCAAAAGGCCACCCACCUGACCAAUCAGGUUCAAUUCAUACGUCCGAACGGCAACGUGGUUUCCGC